UCUAGAGUAUAAAUACAAUAUACCUGAGUACUACGAGCAAGAGGCAAGAGAAUUGCUAAAGUAGCUUAAAACUCAAAAAGCUUGGCGGUGCUGUACAACAGUUUAGGGGAGCUUGCUUCGUAAGCGAUAAUCCACGAGAUACCUUACCUUUUCUAUUAAUGUUGGUAUACCGUCGUCGUCAGUUAACUUUCUAAGAAAAUAUAAGUAGGCAGAUAAUAUAUUAGAGCUUCCAUUUAGUCAAAAAGUAUGGUUUAACUGAAGCUAUAGAACGAAGUAGAGCAGUAUAAUAUUUCUAGACUAAAUAGAUCUUUUAAAGGCAUGUGAUGUCAGAUCGAGGUGCUGCUAAUGAAAAGGAAGGGGUGAGCUACAUUGAUUAUUUAUUGUAUAUAUCGGAUAUCUUUUUGCAACAAAAGUACUGAAGUUGGACUUAAAAGUAAAGUAAUCUAGAGAAAUUAUUUGAAUUAUGAGGUCAGUGCGUACAAAUCGCCCGUCGCUCUCGUUUAAAAAUGAGAUAAGUCGUAACAUAGUAGGGGUACUGGAAAGUGUUCCU
rnacentral:rRNA from 1 species